rnacentral:lncRNA from 1 species
GGGAGGCCGGGAGGGGUCCCUGGGCGGGGAGUUGCUGCGCAUCUGUUGUGUGUGUGCGUCUGUCUGUCUGUUCAGGUCUGUUUUAGGCUGUGUCUGCCUGUCUCUCUGUCUGGGUCUCUUUCAGGCUGCGUCGGUCUGUCUGUCUGGGUCUGUUUCAGGCUGUGUCUGUCUGUCUGUCUGGGUCUGUUUCAGGCUGUGUCUGUCUGUCUGUCCGGGUCUGUUUCAGGCUGUGUCUGGGUCUGUUUCAGGCUGUGUCUGUCUGUCUGUCCGGGUCUGUUUCAGGCUGUGUCUGUCUGUCUGUCCGGGUCUGUUUCAGGCUGUGUCUGUCUGUCUGUCCGGGUCUGUUUCAGGCUGUGUCUGUCUGUCUGUUUGUCUGGGUCUGUUUCAGGCUGUGUCUGUCUGUCCGGGUCUGUUUCAGGCUGUAUGUGUGUCUGCUCUUUGCUUCUGCUCCUGGCUCUGUGUGUAUUUCCCGGGUCCUG